AAAAAAUCUGGGGAGUAAAUUGCUUACUUAGGUAGAAAGGGUGAGGAUUAUUUGAUGCCAUGAAGUGAUUUUUUUGUUUAUUCUCUGGAUUCAUUGCAUAAAGAGGACUUCUGUAGAUUCUCAGAGACUGCAGGGUAAAGUGAGGAAGCUAAGGAAUAACUAUUCUUUAUGGAGCUGAACUGGGGUGGUGCUGGAAGAUGAGGGCAGGUUGACAGAUUUACUGAGCUGAUUGAUGGAGUGCAGAAGCUGGGCUAGGGUUGAAGUCCAGCACUUUUCAAUGUUUCUCAAUCAGCUCUGACAUAAUGAUAGGUGAAUGAGGGAACUGGUGAGCUACUGAGAGAAGGGGUAAUUUAAUGAGAGUAGAUAACAAGAUAAAAAUAUGGAGAUUAAAUGUUUCCAAGCUCACAGUUAUUUGCCAGAUUUCAUCCAAAUUUGUAAACAGUUUUGUACCCUAAAAGUUCAUUUCUGAAGUCUGAAGAAAGGAUUAUCAAGAGUAGCUUCACCCUGCUUUAGAACAGAGUUAGACACAGUGGUUCAUGUGCUAGGCUGUUACUGGCUUUGUAAUCUAUUUCUUAGAGUUCAUUCCAUGCAAAGGGCUUUUGAGCACUGUAGAUACAUGGUUUUCUUGUAUUGUUUUCAGAAGUUGGGUCUGUGAAACUGCCAAUAAUUCUUUACUUGUCUCUUAUGAGUUUUUUUACUCCUGGCUCAAUCCUGUAAGGACCUGGGAAACUCUUAAAAUAUGCUGAUCCUGUUCAAGGCCUAUAAGAAUCUGUGGAACUGGAGGUCAUUCACUGGAUUAUGAUAUGACAUAAAAUCAGAUCUUUAGUGAGCUAAGGGCUUUCUACUUAAAGCAGAUAUAUUUGUGAAACUUAAUAUCCUCCACUUUAUUUUAAUAGGUUUGGAUGUACACAGAUAAUGAACAACAGUAUCAUAUAUAAAAUAAGCAAAGCUACU